GCCACAGUGGUUCAGAGAGGGAUUUAAAGACUGUCACAGAAAGCAACUUCCAUACCUGUGCUUGGUGCACAGUCACAAAGACAGUUUUUCGGAUUAUAUAUAUCAUAAGAGCAUAAAAAGGAAUAUGAGCACAGAGAAGAAGAUGAAGUCUUGAUUCCAGGAGCUGACUUAAUUCCUUGCUACUACCACCAGUAAUCAAGCCAAAUAUUUUCCCGUGUAUAUUGAUGUAAACUGUUUGUUUUCCCUGCAGUGGCUGUUUAGAGAGGGGGAGCGUGUGGGACAGCCUUCUGGACCUGCAGAGUUGAUGGCCCAUGUUCUGCCCUUUGGAGAAAGCUGAGUUGCCUGUUGAUGUGCUCCCCUCCAUGGGCAAGCAGCGCCGUGUACAAGUUUUACAUCACAGAAUCCCAGAAUGUCAGGGGUUGGGAGGGCCCUGGAAAGCUCAUCCAGUGCAAUCCCCCCAUGGAGCAGGAACACCCAGAUGAGGUUACACAGGAAGGUGUCCAGGCGGGUUGGAAUGUCUGCACAGAAGGAGACUCCACAACCCCCUGGGCAGCCUGGGCCAGGCUCUGCCACCCUCACCAGGAACAAGUUUCUUCUUAAAUUUAAGUGGAACCUCCUGUGUUCCAGUUUGCACCCAUUGCCCCUUGUCCUGUCACUGGUUGUCACCCAGAAGAGCCUGGCUCCAUCCUCCUGACACUCCCCCUUUCCAUAUUGAUCCCCAUGAAUGAGUCCCCCCUCAGUCUCCUCUUGUCCAGCUCCAGAGCCCCAGCUCCCUCAGCCUUUCCUCACACGGGAGAUGCUCCACUCCCUUCAGCAUCUUGGUGGCUCUACAUGGGUCACUUUAAGUUGGUACGGACUCCUGGUUUACUGUGCAGCAACAAAAGCAGAGAAGACGCAGAAAUCUUGCUCAGCACGCUCUAGGGGAAUCUCCGUGUCAGGACUGCACGAGAGCGGCUGCGUUUGAGAUCCUGGUGUGAGGUGCUGAGGGAACAAGCUGCAGCGCUGGCACCAGAUGGGAUGGAAACUGGCUUCCCAUAACUCACUUCUGUUCUGCUGUGGAAGAUGGUUUACACAGAGCACUGAGGCUCUGCUUGCUUCAAUGGUGAGGCUGUAACAGCAAACUGGAUCAACAGACACGGUGUUUUUCGUUUGAGUAGCUCUGAUUUCAGAUUUCUAACUUGCCAAACCAGAGACCAAGAUCAAUAGUUACUGCUGGUGUAAGCAGAUGGAAAUCCGUUGGUCUGAAAAGGUUCAAGAUCCUUGGAAAUGAUCCCAGUACAAUCUUGGAACAACAGAACUCCUGCAUCACGCGCUUUGUUUAAAUCCAGCCCUCCCUCCCCACCCCCUAAAAAAAAGCAGUGGUCGUGCAGCCCUUCAAAUGGACAUAUUCUCAGAUCUGGGUCAGGAGAGGAUUUGGGGAUGACAAAGAUAAUAAUGCAAAAAUAAGGGGGUUCCCCUCUCUCCACACAGCUGCUCCCUUUGCAGAGCCAGCAGCUCAGCCCCACGGGGGCUUGUGUGGCGCCUUCCAGCCCCUGGGGUCCAGGUGUUGAAGAAGCGAGAGCAGCUCAAAGAUGGUGCCACCUCUGCCCAGCCUUUUUUCCACACCGGUGGAAGAGUGCAGAGCACUGAAAGAUUCCUGGAUGUCUCCUGCUUCCUCUGGCCAGCUGGCGAGUGCGGCAUUUCCCACUCCCCCGAGACCGCGCGCAUCCCUGCACCAGCACCGCCCCACGCCUGGGAUACCUGGGACAUCGGGCUGAACCGAAACACCAGGCAGUGGGAGCUCAGGCUGCUUGGGGAGCCCAGGGGUCGGCUGGGGCGUCUGACCGGCACCGGGCAGCCGGCGAUGGGUGUGUGGAGCGCGAUAGCGAGAGGGACGGUGAAUCAGAGCGGUGUGGGCUAGACCUGGGCAGAGCUGUGGGUAUGGACACAAGCGCACGGCAGAGACUAACACAGUAAUGAAGGUUUAGCACAAGGGAUUUUGACAGCAGGAAAGAUUUCUUGCCUUUAGAAUGGGGGAUGGUUAAACAGGGAGAAAUGGGUGGAGGACAAGCAAGUACAAAAAAGCCAAAAAGAACAGGGCAGGAGGGUGGGGUCUUUAAAUAGACAUUUGGAGCUAAGGAACAUCAGUACAUACCUGGUUACUCUGCAUCCAGGCAGAUUCCCAACGUUCCAGCCACUACAGAGUCUGCUCAGCGCUUGAUGUGAGGCUCGAAUCGCUCUAGACCAUGUUUACACCCUGAACAGUUUGGAUGUGAGACAAUUCCAGACUCAGACGUGAUACUCUGGCCCAACUCAAACAACAAUGUAAAUGUAGCUGUGAUUUACCUGGUGGCAGUGCAAGUUAUGAAAGUGUUGAAAGGCCUGUGCCAUGCAUUAAAAUACAUAACAGAGCUGUUGAAAUACUUGAUUUUCUUUUUCCUUAGAUCAUACGUUCCUAUAACCAGUGACAUUGAUGAGUAUUUCGGCACAUUAAGAGACUAUUAACUUUUGGCUUCAGCCAACUUAGCUAAGAAUUUGAGGGCUGCGGCAGCUCCAUAAAAAUUCUCUGCUCUCGGUUCGCUCCUCACAUGAACAGUAUCCCAAACUAAUUUCUCCCUCUGGCCUCAGCUGCAGCACUUUGGCACAGGAAAAGGGCACCCACUGCUGCUAAAGAACUCGCUGCUUUACAGAUGAAAACCGAACGUCUUGAAUUCCACCUGGAUCCUGCUGGCAGCGAACGCAGGGCCGCAGCAGUUACGUGAUGUUUUCUCACGGCGACGCGUGAUUCGGUAAGCAGGAUCCCGUGUUACCUUUUGCUCCCCGGUAGUUUCAAGGUGCAAUCCCACAAAGAAUGAAGUGCACAAAUCUAAUCUUGAGGUGACAAAAACAGAUGGUUGCAGCGAGAUCCCUGCAUAGGCAGGGGGUCCCAAGGCUUGUCUGCAGGACACUGCAGCUUGUGAAGCCUUUCGUGGUCACUCCAGGAGGAGUUCUCGGGUGUAUGUUAUAUCACAUUGCAGGUGGGUUUUGCUACCUGGGUUCCAUCCUGCUGUCCCACCCGAGCAGCCUUUCUUGGACAAAAGCCUGGGCUAGUGCCCUGCACUUAGGACAGUGUGUGUAUUUAGUAAUUACAAUUAAUAAUUUAGUAAACGUGUGCCUGCUUUACCCGUUUCAAAUGGUUCAGCAUGUUUGUACUUCCUGUUUUCUCAUAAUAAGCUGUCUACAAAAGCUGUAUCUUAAAUUUCAUUCCAGACCUUUAACAAACUGAGCUCAGUGAGAGAAAUAAACUGCCAGAGGAAGCAAUUAGCUUAAAUUUACCUGAAACCAAAAUCUUACCCAGUGGCAUGAACGAAUCCCGAGUGGUUCAUUCCUGGGAAGGAGUUUCAGCAAGUGGAGAUCAGGUUGCUUUUCAGCUUGGAUGCUCUCACUUUACAUCCCUUGUCAGACACCAGCUGUCACACUCUUUUCCUCAAGAAAGGCUCCAUCAGCCUAAACUUGGCCCAAGGCCCGCCCUGCGUUAAGAACAGUUCUAUGGAUAUAGAACUGGAUUUGGCUGAUAGAACAGACAUUUUGGGUGAUGCUUUGGAUUAUCUUUGGUAACUUCACAACACUGAAAGCUUGACUUGUUUACUGGCCCAGGCCUGAUGGCCAGUGACAGACCGGAGGAUCCUGCCCAGCAGAUUCCCUAGACGAGCUUUGCACCAGACGGGAGCGUCAGUCUGCAUGACCAGACAAGAGCUCUGGGCGUCAGGAUUUGAUCGAGCUGAUGGGCCGGGCAGUGAGAUGCGAGUCCUGAGCGACUGGGACUUUCCUUUGGAGUCUGUUUAACUGUGUUUGUGCAGAGGCAGAGAUUACAUAAAUGAGGGGGAGACGGGGUGACGUUAUUUAUAUUACAGGCUCAUCCUGUAUGUGUGAAGUGCUGGAUGCAAAUAGUGCGAUUUAGAACCCGGUGGUGCAUACGCUGAAAGCCGAGCGAGCCGGCCGGUCGCAGGGUCUGUCACUGUCCUGAGUGUCCCGCGACACUUCAGAUGCAGACAGCGCACCCUGGGUGGAGGAUUCAUCAAGGGAUGGUGGAAAAAAGACAACAGUGCUAGGAGAGCUGAUACUUAAAACCCAGUCUGAUUCUGGAAAACUAUUUCCCACCGUUACGAUGCGCCUGGGAUUUGGAAACCGCCGCACGCUAAAGCAUGCAGAUUGCAACCCUGAAGAGAUCAUGCAUGCUGCCACCAAGUGCUAAGGAACACGGGUGUUGUGUGUCCUUCCUGCCUGUUUUAACACUGCCACCCUGUAAGCCUGUGUACCACCAUGCAGUCUACGCAGAAAUGGCACGGGUUUGGUUAAUAACGCUUGGCAAGCAGCGUGGCCUGGGUAUCAACGUCAUGGUCUGAUCUCUAGGCAACAGCUUCUCCUCCGCCUCAUCCUGUUGCUCUUUCUGAAAUGGGAGGGAUAAAGAGUAUUAAUAAGAACCCAGGCAGGCUGUGAAGUCAGCACACCACUCGGGAAGAGGGUGCUGCUGUAUCUUCACUAAUAAAUCAGGAUCGUUAUCACACCAGGGGAGAGAAAGAACCCAGAGCAAAGGCAUCUGCUGUGAAUUAUGUCUCUGGGCCCACCAGAGCUCUCCAUCUUCCCCCAGCACUUGCUCAGCGCAGCCGUGCAGCCUGCCAGCAGCCAUUAAUCCCUCCGCUCCUGCCGGAAAGCUGAUACGGGGCCGAGGCAAAUAUUUCUUGUGUCUGACGGUUUGGGUUGUUUUUUUCUUUUUAAUACUCGCUGUAAUGAGCAAAGGGCCCAGAAGUGCUCGCAGUGCUUUCUGCAGGGUCUUUCCGCAGGGUCUACAGAUGUGUGCGCCAGCCAAAUACAGAAACCAGUGAAGCUGUUUCUUUGUUCAGGUUCGGUCGCCCCUUUUGGCUCCAAAUCCGUGUGCAUAUAUAAAGAGAGGAGCGUUGGCUGCCGAGCACAGGGACCUCACAACAGCACUCUGUCUCUGCAGAAUCCAUUUCCGACACAGUACGCUUCCUUCAGGGGAAUUUGGGGGGAAAUGCCAGUGGCAAAACUGAUUUCAUUAGUUGCUGAUUUCACCCAGGCUUGUGCUUUUCUAAGAGUAAUCCUGAUUUAUGCAGCUAAUCCUGUUUCAGGUGAUGUGUGGUACCAUAACACAGCAUGUCAGAGAAUAUUUUAUAGAUAUUUGCUCAGUAUUUAUGUCAGGUUUUCCCAGGGUUUACCAUGGUACAGUACUAGCACGUAUGUAAGAACUUGCAUUUUUCAGCUAGCAAAACCUUAUGGAUUUGUCUGAUAGUCUUUUGUUCCUCAGCAAAGAAGGUGGAACCUGAACCCUCAAUAACCAAGUGUGUGUGUUUUCAAAACAAAGGUGAGUCACAAGAAUAGACUUGAUGUACUUCUAUAAAAUGACCCAAGUAAUGCCAGCAAGGAUGUCUGUAGGAAGCUGCGUUAUUUGGGCGUGUGCAGUGCCGCUGCCCUCUAACAGAACGUGCUAUUUCAUGUCCUGCACGUUUUCAGCAUCCUCACUCUUCCACCACAUCCUUCUGCUGCUCAUCUGGAACCCAAAUACUAGAUUCCCAACACUCAUCGUGAGGCUGUAACAAAGGGGCUGGGUCUCCCUCAGUUGUUUGUUUGGAGCUGGAUCACUCGGUGUGGCAGCACAGGACAGGGGUAGACCUCAGCUGCUUUUCUCCUCCAUGGAGACUGACCAUGACAUGUUGGAGAGGUGGGCUUGUGCCAGCCUGGUGAAGUUCAGCAAGGCCAAGUGCAAGGUCCUGGGCAAUCCCAAGCACAGGCUGGGCGGAGAGUGGACUGAGAGCAGCCCUGAGGAGAAGGACUUGGGGGUUUUGGUUGAUGAGAAGUUCAAAAUGACCUGGCAAUGUGCACUUACAGCCCAGACACCACCUGUGUCCCAGGCUGUGUCACCAGCAGCAUGAGCAGCAGGUUUGGGGGGAUUCUGCCCCUCUGCCCCACUCUGGUGAGACCUCCCUGCAGUGCUGGUCCAGCUCUGGGCCCUCAGCACAGGACACACAUGGAGCUGCUGGAGAGGGGCCAGAGGAGCCACAGGAAUGAUCUGAGGCUGGAGCAGCUCUGCUGGGAGGACAGGCUGAGAGAGCUGGGGGGUUCAGCCUGCAAAAGGGAAGCUCCGGGAAGAUCUUAUUGUGGCCUUUCCAUACUUAAAAUGGGCUGAUAAGAAAAAUGGGGACAGACUUUAGCAGGGCAUGUUGUGACAGGACAAGGGGUGAUGGUUUUAAACUAAAGGAGGGAGAUUCAGGCUGGACACAAGGAAGAAAUUGUUGCCCCUGAGGGUGGUGAGAGCCUGGCCCAGGCUGGCCAGAGAGGUGGUGGAUGAACCAUCCCUGGAGACAUCCCAGGCCAGGCUGGACGGGGCUCUGAGCAACCUGAGCUGCUGAAGAUGUCCCUGCUCAUGGCAGGGGGGGCACUGGGGGAGUUUAAGGUCACUUCCAACCUAAACUAUUCCAUGAUUUAGAGUAAUUGUUUCCAAAUGAAUGUACCCAGCAGCUGGGCAGGGUCUUGAAGCUCUGGCUGUCACCGCUCUGCCUUGUGUGAAACGUGUUUUGAUGACUGGGAGCAGGCGAAAUGCAUGAAAUUCUCAUCCCCAGACUGUUGAUGUGCAGUGCCUCCUGCCAGUGCCCAUGAGAAGCUUGGAGAGAGCCGUGUGCUGGAUGUUUACCAAGUGCUGAGUGAUGCACAGCAGUGAAUCACACACAGAUUUCCUGUUCUUCCUAUCAGAAUUAUGGCAAGCCAUAAUAAGAUGGACCCAGAACAAAAAUAACUCCACCAGACUAUGGUAUAGUGAGCUAUUAGGGGACUCCCUAUUUAAUAACCAAAACUUAAACUGAAUUUACUCUUCCAAAAAAUUUUUAAGGGCAAUGCAUUACAGCAAGUGGUGUACUAAAUACAAAGUUUAUCUGUUUGCUAUAGAGAUGGAACUAACAGUAACAAAUGGUGACAGGUAACAUGAGAGGGGGUGGCUGAAUGGGUUUUUCUGAUUAACUCCUAAUGAACUGGAUACAAUAACAGCAGGAAUACGAUCUUUGAUGUCACCAGAAAUCCCUCCCAAAGGAGGUGUCCCAGCCUGGGUAACAAUCGUUGGUUAUUUCUCUUUCCUUGGGCUGGCACAGAGGACUAAACAAGCCAUGGGGAUAUUGUUAAUUGCUCCUGUUAAUUUCACUGUUUGUUUUGUUACCAGAUUGCCUGUGUGAAAAGAGUAUUUAUAAAUUCAAGAGACAACAAAAAGGUGAACUGUCUGUAGGAGUAAAAUCAAAUGGAUCCAACUCACAGCUGCCUCGGUCUCUCCAAACAAGAAAACCCCUGUUUGUGGUGGAGAAGGAGCAGGAGGAGGGUGCUACUCGCACUGCCAGUACUAGUGAUGAGGUAACACCGCACCGAGACACCUUUUCCUGCAGCACCUUUCUCUUCUGGUCCCUCCAAAAAGCUUCUGCUCCCGGUAUUAAUAAUAUUGAGCUGUAAGUCGUUCCAGUCAGCAGGUUCCAAUAUUAUUUGUACCCUCGGGGCAAAGAACCGUGACAACUGAUGUGUUCUGUGGUUUUACACUCUGGAAUUUGUUCUCGUGAGUCUGAGAGAACUCGCUGUGCCGCAGCAGAGACGUGGGGCUACAGCCCCGGCAGCACCGGCGUGGCGGCACACGGCAACACCGUGGUCUGCGGUAACACAACCAGCCCUACAACACCCUGCGUGGUGCUGAAACAUGGUUGUUUUCAUUAAAAAUCACUAAAUGCUGCUGUUAUGCACCUGAGUCCCGUUCUGACCGGCUGUGCAGAACAAGCAGCUCCUUUUUGUAGAGCAGGGUUUCAGCUUCAAAGAUGUUCCUGUCUGUACAGCUGCUGCCCGCGCUCUUUCCUCACUUAGGAAAAAACCCUGCCCAGAUCAACCGGCUUCCUCGCAGGGACUGACAGUUGCUGCUGUUUUCCCCAAGACAGGAACAUCAUAGCUGCACAUUUUUGUCAUUUGCUCUUCCUCCCCUCGGUAACAAGAAAUCUCUUUGUCGUGAACCGAUGAUGAGGACGUCCCGCACGCCAGCACCGUGCGAUGCCUGGAAGGGAGGGACCUCUGGCUGCCGCCCAGCGCAGUGUUCUGCUCUUCCCAGAUCCUGAUUUUCUGUUACAUACGGAGACGCUGGUGAUCCGUUAAUCACCAUAGGCAACAAUAAGCCAAAGCACAUUGAUCCCUAGUGAGAGAAACAGGAUUUCUCCCCUUUGGAGGUGGAGGUGAAAUGAAGAAAUAAAAUUAACCGCAGAGUCAAUUAUACCGUUAAGUGACAUUCUUUAUUUUAUCGGCGCUGGGGAACACUGGGAAUCAUCCUCCAUAAGUGCUCCAGAGACUGGAUGCUCUUGCGCUGUUUAUAUUCACAUAAUUACUACAUAUGCAUUACAACUUUUGAAAAUUUUGACAUAUAUCUAUACUAAGAAAUAAUUGAUUACAUUAGUUAUAAUUGUUUAAUUUCUUACUUACAAUACUUCUAUUAAUAGUUAAACAUAAACUAGGCAUUCUGCUUCUAAACAACGUAUCACUUAAUCUUCUGUCUCCCUCUUGUAAUGCAGAAGGAUCUAAAACUUGAAAAAUAUCCCCUUUUAUUGCAAGUGGUCAGAAAACAUUUAUCUCAUGUCACUUGGUCAACGAUGGGUACGUCUUUUGUAACUUAAUUGCAGUAUACUUUCAUUUGGCAGCUUCUCUUCAAUGGCAGCUUUUGAGAUAAAUCCAUGUCUUGCCGCUUCUCCUUUUGGUCGUUCACAACUUGCUCUUUAACUUCAGCCACCGUAGUUCAUGUUUAAAAGUGUGUUAUACACACGCUGAUCCCAGAGUUCUCUCAGUCCUUCACGACCUAGAAGAGGGACAGCACUUCAUCUUCCCUCUGUUUCCAUCCCGUUGCUUUUUGAUCUUUCUCUUAGAUUCCUUCUGUACACGAGCGCUCGCUUCAGAGAAAACUACUAAAAUGAACCCAACUGUACCGUGGUGUUGUCAUUAUCACAUAAAAGAACGAAUCCUGUCUGCAGCUGCUAACCUAAAGCUACGUAAACCCCGUCAGUUUUAGGUCAGUCUGACAAAGAUAAGAGUGACUUGCAAAACACCCAAUCACAGACUGACCUUGCAGCUUUACACAUUUUGAAGUGCAUGUAAUUUGUUUACUCUUGUUUUAACACAGAUCUCCAGGCUGCUGGAUGAAGUGUCCGUUAGCUGAAUGUUGCUUAUUAUAUGCUAAAAGGAUUGUGUAAUGCAAUACGCAAAUGUGUAACCAACUGGCUCUUCAGAGUGCGAAUGUGGUGAUAAGAUUUUGUAUACAAUAGCUGUUACUUUUCUCUCUGGUGUGCUGGCUUUACUCCAGCAUCCAGGCUUGCGCAACUCAUCAAGUCCAACCAUUAAUCGCUGCCCCAUGUCCUGAGAACCUCAUGUCCGUCUGUCCAGCCCUCCAGGGCUGGUGACUCCAGCACUGCCCUGGGCAGCCUGUUCCAAUGCCCCACAGCCCUUUGGGGAAGAAACUGUUCCCAGAUCCAACCUCAACCUCCCCUGGCGCAACUUGAGGCCGUUUCCUCUGCUCCUGGCGCUUGUUCCUGGGGAGCAGAGCCCGACCCCCCUGGCUCCAAGCUCCUUUCAGGCAGUUCAGAGAUCAGAAGGUCUCCCCUCAGCUCCUGUUCUACAGCCUACGGCAGAUUUGGAAAAAAAAUAAGAAAACCUGGUAGCCAUGCCUGCCCGCCCUCGCUUUCUGCAUCGAAAGGUGCUGAAAACGUCCCUUUUCCGUAACAGGGACUCCCGUGUUUCCCGGCGGGUGGUUCGCAACGGGGCGGCGGCCGGCAGGGGGCGCCAGAGAGCCGCGCGGCUCACGCAUGCGCAGUGCGUGCCCCGGCCUGGCGGCCGCGCUCCGCCGUCCGCGGGCCCUCACGGCCCCGGCGCGGCCUCCCAGGCCUCUCACCCGCCGCCGGGCCCUGCGCACCGGGAGCGGCGCUGCCGGCGGGGCGCGGACGCAGAAGCCGCCGGAGGCGGUGUGUCGCGCAUGCGCUCUGCGGCGGGCGGCGCGCUGGUGACGGUGCAACCGGAAGCGCUGCGUCGCACUUCCGGCUGAGGACGCGUCCGCCCGUCAGCGGGGCAGAGGCCGGAGCGGCCGUGAGUGAACGGGGCGAGAACGGGGGCACCGGGGCCCGGACCGUGGGGGCUCCGGCCUGCGGGGCCGGUCCAGUGCGGCCCAGGGGCGGCGGGGCCUGACCGGCGGCAGCUCUGGGCCAGGCCGCGACUUCGCGGUGCAUGUCCUCGUGUCACUGUGGAUUGUCCCUGUCCGUGGCCGCAGGGAGGGGCCUACAUGUCACUGAUGUCACCUCAGGCUCCAUCUACAGCUUCUUACAUUUUAUUUUGUCCAGGUAGCAGCAGCCUGUUCUCUGGUAUCAACAUGCCAGAAUUUUUGCAUCAGGUUUUGGAACAACUGAAGAAAAGGUCCAUGUGGUCACAGCUGCUGCCAAAACACGAAACAGAAUUUGUGGGUGUCUGUCACCUGUCGAAUGAAGGAGCUGGAACAGCCUGUCCACAGCCAACCUGACGAGCACGUGAGAUCUCCGCUACACCCCGAGCCUUUGGUUGGAGAUGCGCAUUCGGGUGUCUCUUCCCACGUGCAGAACAUGGCUCACCCCUUGGAGAAAACCAUUACUGCGGCACGCUGUGUUCUGCAAGUGAUGAUAUAUUCACCAGGAACACAAGAGUUCACACUGUGGAAACGGGCUUCAACAUCAACAUGCCCCUGAGCCGCCCCGUGGGCAUGACAUGUCAGUUCAUCCCUUUCUGCUGGGUAUUUUUCCUAGUUGCAUCCUGCCAUCCUCUGCUUAAAUUGCUCUCUCAGUGUCUUGGAAACGCUUCUGGUAAUGCUGUAGUUCAGCGAAAUGUUGCCUUGUCUCCUGCCGCUGCAGCAAGGGGAGGCAGCGCUGACACAAAGAAGUCGCCUCUUCAGCCCACCUCACCCACUUUGGAGAGUUUUCCUGUUAACGUACAGCGGGGGUGUUUGUAAAGAUGCGGCGCUACACACAGCGCACUGUUCUCCCCUUCUUUUAAACAGGAUUUAUUGAUGUCCUUCAGGCUGGGGUGGGGGGAGAAGGGAGGGCUGGCUGGAUAUUUCUCUUGCAGUUAAAUUCUCUGUGUUGGCUCUUAAAAGCGUUAAGUAAUGAGGGGAAAAAACAAAGCUUAAAGCUUAAGAGCCUAAAAUCAUCUGGGACAAUCACUUCCAUUCCAACGCCAUUAAACAGUUAAGGGUCGUUUUGCUGGAGUGAAAAUGUUGAACUAUUUUGACUGUACAAUUCAUGCUUUUUAAAUUAAACUAAGGAAUUCA